rnacentral:rRNA from 1 species
UGUUUCGGCUAGGGGGCCAUCCCGGCUUACCAACCCGAUGCAAACUGCGAAUACCGGAGAAUGUUAUCACGGGAGACACACGGCGGGUGCUAACGUCCGUCGUGAAGAGGGAAACAACCCAGACCGCCAGCUAAGGUCCCAAAGUCAUGGUUAAGUGGGAAACGAUGUGGGAAGGCCCAGACAGCCAGGAUGUUGGCUUAGAAGCAGCCAUCAUUUAAAGAAAGCGUAAUAGCUCACUGGUCGAGUCGGCCUGCGCGGAAGAUGUAACGGGGCUAAACCAUGCACCGAAGCUGCGGCAGCGACACUGUGUGUUGUUGGGUAGGGGAGCGUUCUGUAAGCCUGUGAAGGUGUGUCGUGAGGCAUGCUGGAGGUAUCAGAAGUGCGAAUGCUGACAUAAGUAACGAUAAAGCGGGUGAAAAGCCCGCUCGCCGGAAGACCAAGGGUUCCUGUCCAACGUUAAUCGGGGCAGGGUGAGUCGACCCCUAAGGCGAGGCCGAAAGGCGUAGUCGAUGGGAAACGGGUUAAUAUUCCCGUACUUGGUGUUACUGCGAAGGGGGGACGGAGAAGGCUAUGUUGGCCGGGCGACGGUUGUCCCGGUUUAAGCGUGUAGGCUGGUUUUCCAGGCAAAUCCGGAAAAUCAAG